rnacentral:lncRNA from 1 species
AUGUGUACCAACAUUGCUGACAUUGCUGUCUUCCAAGACUACUACAGAGACAAGGACCUUAUGACUCUGGUGGUGGAUGUGAUAAAGCUUGUGACAGGAGCAGUCUCCACUUCCCUGGUGCUGAGAAGCACCCAGAAGAAGUAUAUUAACACAAGUCUGUUCUACUACUCAAGUGUGUUGUUGUACCUGGUUGACAGUGGUGACUGCAGUUGGGAAGGGUGA